UCCACUAUCCAAUCCAACCGCCGUGCUGACAAUGGCGUCUUGUAAUGUGCGCGAAGUUUUGUGCGUUGAAGUGCUAUAUAAAAGUUGCAGUAUCUCGUACUUGUGUUGCAGAAAUGUGAGAACUCUGAGUCAUACUUCCUAGUUUCUUAAACUACAAUUUGGGUACAUGACAAGCUGUCACAACCCUUCUAGGAACUUCCUUGCUUCGGUGAAACGCGAGACCAUAGAUACUCUUUGCCAGCAUUCCCAGUGGAAGUGAAUGUGCGAAGUCAAACCUGACAGUGAGUGAUUUGAGUAACAGUGCACUUUCUGACUUUGAGGUGACUGGCAGGAUGUGGUACAGGAGGAUCUAUACAGGGCUGUAAAAGAUCAGAGGCUUCCAUCCGACCUGAAGGCCUGCAGGUGGACAACCUCAGGAAGUGCACUCACAGACUGCAAAGUAUAAGAACUCCUAAGAAAAGAGCGUCAUGCUGGAGAAGAGAGUCAUCACCCAUCAUGAUUAUACUUCAGCCGUUUGACAGUCACGUAGAAUGGUGACCUGCCCAACUUGCGUUCUUCAGGAAGGUCAACACCAAGCAUCCACCUGAGUAACGUCUGUGAUGCCCAUUGCAUCGUGAGGGACAGUGUAACGUGGACACUACUAGUGGUUGUGCAGUGCAGUGUGGACAAAACUAAGGAUUCUUUUGAGAGACACGGUGAUGCAUCACUGUUUCUGGAUAGCCAUGUGCGUUUUGUGGUAUUUGUGCAUCAUGUUGAAUUGACGAGGAAGUUUUACAGAAGUAAGUAGACAAUAUUCAUCAAGUAAGUGUUACAGUCUGACACUUUUCCAGUUCGAGCACGCACUGUUAUAUUAAUUACAUAUAUACAGUCGGCAACUGUUAAUUCGGACUUGUAGGAGGAACAACAUUUGUCCAAAUUAUCGAGCAGUCCGGAUUGGUAGCUAAUGACAAACAUCUGCUUCCAACAAUGGCCAUUAUUAGAGACAUUGAAACUCAAUUGAAAGCAGUCUCUGUUUAGCAGCACGCACACAGGAAAGAACGCAUUUCUGCUAAGGUCGCGGUGUCGGAAUACACAGUUCCGAGCGUGUCAAUGGCCGCGGUUGACGGAGGAUCCCUGAUGUCCACGCCACUACCGUCAUCUGAUCUGUCCGCGGGCAAGUUAAGGCAGAAUCACCUCAAUGUAAUCGCUAUGGGGCUUCUUGUGUCCAGGUCAUCUCUGAAAGGGCAGGGAAUAUUGAGUUCCACCUCACAGAGAUAAUACUAUGUCCGAUCCUGCAUUGACUGUCACGUUUUUUGUUCCAGUGCGGCACUUUGUUGAAUUUAUACGCAUUUUUGUUUCUUCCGAUAUCUUCGGAGCUCUAAGGGAAGAACACUAAAAUGCUGAUUAAAAUUUCCCUAUAGCGAGGACCCACUUAAGAAUGGUGUUAAGUCUUGCGUCUCUUCUCAAUGAUCAUAAUUCAAGCAAGCUUUUUACUUUCAAAAACUUUCCAAAUCUUUGUGAUAACCUGGACAAAAAGAUGUAUUUGUCGUCUGCCACGGAGGACCACUGCGGGGGACAGCACUGUGCUGCCACCACAAUCAAUUUACGCUUCGGGAGAGGAGUGGUCGUAGUGAGGGAAAGAACGUUCUCUGUUGAUGUUGAAACCGAAUCCUAUACUGCGUGCAUGGAAUUUGAACAUGCUCACUUUCAUCGCAUCGGCUACGCGACAGGUAGUUUUGACGAACCAUGCGUGUUCAGAGACCUCGGCGUCAGCAUGGAGAUGGGCAUCGGCUGUUGGUGUUCUAUCGUAAUAGUUUGCAAUGCAAAUAUUCAGCUUUGACAGCUUCCACAAAUCAUGUAUACGGUACAACACUGACUUCUGACAUAUCUUCAUAGUUUCUGACAAAAUUUCGAAUUAGUUUCUAAUUAUUUAUACAUAAUUUUAAAUUUUUAACGAAGUAGUUAUAAUGACUAAAAAGUCCACAAUUGUGUGGCGAGACCAGAAAACUUCAAUCAAGAAAUGCAACUGAUGACACAAGGCGGACCAUAUAAUUUUAUUGCACUAGACGCUACCAGUUGAAGGGCUCUCCGCAAAUGAUGUAAGCUAAAAUUUGUAGGCUGAAGAGAUAAGAACAAACAGUAAUAACAACGUGUAGUUUUCUAAUGUUGCAGUACACAGAUUGUUUUUUAUUCAUGUAUGUAAAGUGGGCCUGCAGCUCAUGAAAGCGGUGUAAGUUCAUUUACGUCGUUAUUGAAGAGAGCCAUUCAACUGCAAAGCCGUAAACUUUCAAAGCUUGUUUCAAAGUUUUACCAGCGCAAGGCAUGCAAAGAUUGCAGAAAUAACGGAGGCAGUUAUAAAGAUUAUCAUCCGGACACCCUGUACUAUAUUAGCCAGAAGAUACAUGAUGCCAUUAUAGCCAUGACACAAUCAUGCAAUAAAAAGCUCAUCUGUAAACAAAUAUACAUUUCUGCACAAUCUCAGAGUAACAUGGUUAUUAUGUGUACUACUUCAAUACAAAUAUCUCGCAUUA